rnacentral:rRNA from 1 species
UACGUAGGUGGCGAGCGUUUGUCCGGAUUUACUGGGCGUAAAGGGCGUGCAGGCGGUUUGUUAAGUGCAGGGUGAAAGCUCCCGGCUCAACUGGGAGAGGUCCUUGCAUACUGGCGAACUCGAGGGAGGCAGAGGAAAGUGGAAUUCCCGGUGUAGUGGUGAUAUGCGUAGAUAUCGGGAGGAACACCUGUGGCGAAGGCGGCUUUCUGGGCCUUACCUGACGCUGAGACGCGAAAGCGUGGGGAGCGAACCGG